rnacentral:tRNA from 1 species
GGAUAUAUAGCUCUGUGGUAGAGUAUGUAAUUAAUAUGCAUGAGGCCUUAUGUUUGAUUUCCAGCACUACAAUAUAUAUAUAUAUAUAUAUAUAUAUAUAUAUAUAUAUAAAUUUUUAAAAGCAUUUUAAGGUUUCUUGUUUUAAUAGUUUUUUGUUUUGUUUUGUUUCGUUUUGUUUAAGUUAUAGAUGAACACAAUACCUUUAUUUAUUUAUUUUAUGUGGUGCUGAGGAUCGAACCCAGUGCCUUCU